GACGAACGCUGGCGGCGUGCCUAAUACAUGCAAGUAGAACGCUGAAGGAGGAGCUUGCUUCUCUGGAUGAGUUGCGAACGGGUGAGUAACGCGUAGGUAACCUGCCUGGUAGCGGGGGAUAACUAUUGGAAACGAUAGCUAAUACCGCAUAAGAGUAGAUGUUGCAUGACAUUUGCUUAAAAGGUGCAAUUGCAUCACUACCAGAUGGACCUGCGUUGUAUUAGCUAGUUGGUGAGGUAACGGCUCACCAAGGCGACGAUACAUAGCCGACCUGAGAGGGUGAUCGGCCACACUGGGACUGAGACACGGCCCAGACUACUACGGGAGGCAGCAGUAGGGAAUCUUCGGCAAUGGACGGAAGUCUGACCGAGCAACGCCGCGUGAGUGAAGAAGGUUGUCGGAUCGUAAAGCUCUGUUGUAAGAGAAGAACGAGUGUGAGAGUGGAAAGUUCACACUGUGACGGUAUCUGACCAGAAAGGGACGGCUAACUACGUG
rnacentral:rRNA from 1 species